AAUUCCGGCGGCGCAAGGAAAAGAAACGAAAAAGCCUCGUUACCAAUUGCCAGCCCUGGAGGGUGCAUUGAACUCGCUGAUUAUUGAAGGGCACGCUUUACGGCGCAAAGGCCGCGAAAAUCACGAAGCCCCGGGAAGGAAUGAACCUAUG